rnacentral:rRNA from 1 species
UACGGAGGGUGCGAGCGUUGUCCGGAAUCAUUGGGCGUGAAGGGCGCGUAGGUGGCCCGGUCAGUCUUUGGUGAAAGCGCGGGGCUCAACCCUGCGUCGGCCAGGGAUACUGCCGCGGCUCGAGCACUGUAGAGGCAGGCGGAAUUCCGGGUGUAGCGGUGGAAUGCGUAGAGAUCCGGAAGAACACCGGUGGCGAAGGCGGCCUGCUGGGCAGUUGCUGGACACUGGAGGCGCGACAGCGUGGGGAGCAACAGG